rnacentral:rRNA from 1 species
UGUCUAGGGGCUCAAACCUAAAGAACCUAAAUAUCUAAACGGAGAAAUUCAAUACUACCAUUAAACGUAGUGUGCACUUUUCUCUUAGUAAGACGYCGUGAUCCAUUAGAAAUUGAUACAUACAAAAUGUAUAUUGGGUCAUCAAUAGGUCAAUAUGAAGUUUAUUGGAACAAAUGUCAUAAUCUUACACGGUUGUGUGUAUUGUCUGGUAAGCAUAUUGUAUCCUGUAAUGACUGUCUGAUGGAUUUUAAAGAUAAUAUUAUUGAUGUUACGGCAUCACUUGGUGAAUAACUAAGUAUUUGAUAUUUAUCUGAUCAACGGCGGUUAAAUUUAGGAUACCUUUUGGACCCGUCUUGAAACACGGACCAAGGAGUCUAUCUAGUAUGCGAGUAAAUGGAUAGAUUAUGAAAUCUAUUUGCAUAAUAAACUUGACUGUUUUUAUGGGAUUACGAGAUUAUUAUUUUUUAAUCUCUUCCAUCCCGGGGUAUUUUUAUCAACAUAUGCUUGCAUAUGGAAAAUAUACCAUGAGCACACUGGAUACGACCCGAAAGAUGGUGAACUAUGCCUGAUCAGGUCGAAGUCAGGGGAAACCCUGAUGGAGGACCGAAGCAGUUCUGACGUGCAAAUCGAUUGUCAGAAUUGGGCAUAGGGGCGAAAGACCAAUCGAACCAUC